rnacentral:rRNA from 1 species
AGAAUCAACGCUGGCGGCGUGCCUAACACAUGCAAGUCGCACGAGAAAGGGGAGCAAUCCCUGAGUAAAGUGGCGCACGGGUGAGUAACACGUGAAUAAUCUACCUCCGAGUGGGGAAUAACUGAGAGAAAUCUUAGCUAAUACCGCAUAACACUUACGAGUCAAAGCAGCAAUGCGCUUGGAGAGGAGUUCGCGGCCGAUUAGUUAGUUGGCGGGGUAAUGGCCCACCAAGACGAUGAUCGGUAUCCGGCCUGAGAGGGCGCACGGACACACUGGAACUGAAACACGGUCCAGACUCCUACGGGAGGCAGCAGUGGGGAAUUUUGCGCAAUGGGGGAAACCCUGACGCAGCAACGCCGCGUGGAGGAUGAAGCCCCUUGGGGUCGUAAACUCCUUUCGAUCGGGAAGAUAAGUGACGGUACCGAUAUAAGAAGCCCCGGCUAACUUCGUGCCAGCAGCCGC